rnacentral:tRNA from 1 species
CGCCGGAUUGGCGGGCGGGAUGUACCGCAGGCCGUUCCGGUCGGCGUACGACGUCUGCUGCCGCUGUUCCGCGUCCGGUGCCGUCGGC